rnacentral:rRNA from 1 species
UGGGGAAUUUUGCACAAUGGAGGAAACUCUGAUGCAGCGACGCCGCGUGAGUGAUGAAGAUCUUCGGAUUGUAAAACUCUGUCCUUAGUGAAGAUAAUGACAGUAACUAAGAAGCAAGCCCUGGCUAAAUACGUGCCAGCAGCCGCGGUAAUACGUAUGGGGCAAGCGUUGUCCGGAAUUAUUGGGCGUAAAGGGUACGUAGGCGGUUUAAUAAGUCCUAAUUAAAAGGCUAUGGCUCAACCAUAGUAUGGUUAGGAAACUGUUGAACUUGGGUAGAUGAGGGGAAAGUGGAAUUCCAUGUGUAGCGGUGAAAUGCGUAGAUAUAUGGAGGAACCCCAAUGGCGAAGGCAACUUUCUGGAAACAAACUGACGCUGAGGUACGAAGGCGUGGGGAGCAAACAGG